rnacentral:rRNA from 1 species
UACGUAGGGGGCAAGCGUUGUCCGGAUUUAUUGGGCGUAAAGAGCGUGUAGGCGGCCAAGCAGGUCCGCUGUGAAAACUCGAGGCUCAACCUCGAGACGUCGGUGGAAACCGUUUGGCUAGAGUCCGGAAGAGGAGAGUGGAAUUCCCGGUGUAGCGGUGAAAUGCGCAGAUAUCGGGAAGAACACCCGUGGCGAAGGCGGAUCUCUGGGCCUUACCUGACGCUGAGGCGCGAAAGCUAGGGGAGCGAACAGG